GCCUGCAUGUCGUGUGCUGACCUACCAGGAGAGUCCUGGUGGGCCCGUGUGUCGGUGGUCCCCGACACACAAGAUCCGGCGUUGCGACUACUAGAAGACCUAUUCCUACUCCGAUCGGGUAGUCCUUGCAGUGGAUGAUGAGUGGAGGCGAUUGGGUAGCGCCAAUCGUAGGUACCAGACGGAGAUAGAGCGUCUCCAGGCUGCCCUCCGAGUACACAGUGCCAGGAUUCGAGAGCUGGAGGCUUCGGUUCUGGAGGGGCAGCAGCGGACUGAUGCCUUUAGAGAGCAGGCUCAGGCGACUACUGGUCGCCUUGCUCGAGUAGUUGGCGAUGUUCGAGACCGGACCGACCGUAUCCUGACUGAGUGCGGGGCUCUAGUGGAGGAUGUGGUUCAGGACUUGGCCGGGGAGGGUCAAGCGCCUGCGGUUCCUGGUGCUCCGGAGGAGGUUCCCGAGGAGGACCCAGAUGAGAAGACUGCCGCACCUACGGAGUCGAUUGGGUCGGCAUCUAGUUAGACUCCUAGUUCAGGGUUUGAGAGAUUUUUGUGAGGUAGUUAGGGAUAUAGUGGGAUGGCACGUCCCCUUUUAUUUUUGAAUGUGACGUGUUAAGGUGGAUGUAUAUAGUGUUUCUUUUGUUCUAUGUCCCUUGGCUAGUAUAGCCUUUGACUUGACUAGGUUGACAUGUACAGUAUUUUUAACUUGCUAUGUGCCUUAUUUUGCUAGGUAUUUGAAGGCCAUGUUUGUUUUGAAUGUGUUUUACUGUAUCUGC
rnacentral:lncRNA from 1 species